rnacentral:rRNA from 1 species
GACGAACGCUGGCGGCGUGCUUAACACAUGCAAGUCGAACGGUAAGGCUCUUCUUUUGUGGUGUGCUCGGGAGGGGUAAGGAUGAGUAACACGAGCGUACCCUGGCCUUGGCUUUGGGCUAACUUCAGGGGACUAGGGCUAAUUCCGGACCGGAUCCCCUUUUGCAUGGUGUGGGAUGGAAAGUUUGGGCGGUUGGGGAUGGACUCGCGGCUUAUCAGCUUGUUGGUGGGGUAGUGGCUUACCAAGGCUUUGACGGGUAGCCGGCCUGAGAGGGUGACCGGCCACACUGGGACUGAGAUACGGCCCAGACUCCUACGGGAGGCAGCAGUGGGGAAUAUUGCACAAUGGGCGGAAGCCUGAUGCAGCAACGCCGCGUGCGGGAUGACGGCCUUCGGGUUGUAAACCGCUUUCGCCUGGGACGAAGCGUGAGUGACGGUAACUGGUGAAGAAGCACCGGCUAACUACGUG